UAGAGUCACUCCUUUAAGAAGGGAGCUCCUCCCUGUGUGUUUCUUCUGGGUUUUGCAUCCAGAUGGAGCUGUCUUCCCUCACCCACAGGGAGGGAGUCACCCUUCUGCUGGCUCCAGCGGCUCAGGAACUGGGGACGCAGUGCCUGGCUCGUGGUGUCCUGCAGCAGAUGUGGGGAUUAUUCCUUCUUUACAUUUCCCUGACAAUGGGAGGCACUGCGGGACAAGGCAUUCAUCAGCCCACUGAGUUGACAGCUAUGGAAGGAGCCUCUGUCCAAGUCAACUGCAUGUACCAGACAUCUGGGUUCAACGGGCUGUCCUGGUACCAGCAACCUGGUGGUGGAGCACCCAUGUUUCUCUCUUACAACGUUCUGGAUGGUUGGGAGAGGAGAGGUCGUUUUUCUUCAUUCCUUCGUCGCUCUGAUACAUACAGUUACUUCCUUCUGAAGGAGCUCCAGAUGAAAGACUCUGCCUCUUACCUCUGUGCUGUGAUCGACACUAUGACUAUGAGGCCUCUUCAGCUGCACCAAAAUUCAAAAGGUGAUCACGACAGCGAGAAGCUAUAUUUCCUGAGCGUAUGCCUGCUGUGA